CGUAGGGUGCGAGCGUUAAUCGGAAUUACUGGGCGUAAAGCGUGCGCAGGCGGUUUUGUAAGACAGAUGUGAAAUCCCCGGGCUCAACCUGGGACCUGCAUUUGUGACUGCAAGGCUAGAGUACGGUAGAGGGGGAUGGAAUUCCGCGUGUAGCAGUGAAAUGCGUAGAUAUGCGGAGGAACACCGAUGGCGAAGGCAAUCCCCUGGACCUGUACUGACGCUCAUGCACGAAAGCGUGGGGAGCAAACAGGAUUAGGUACCCUGGUAGUCCACGCCCUAAACGAUGUCAACUGGUUGUUGGGUCUUUACUGACUCAGUAACGAAGCUAACGCGUGAAGUUGACCGCCUGGGGAGUACGGCCGCAAGGUUG
rnacentral:rRNA from 1 species